rnacentral:hammerhead_ribozyme from 1 species
GCACCGCUGAUGAGUCCCGAUCUGGGACGAAACGGCCGUCCAGUGC